rnacentral:rRNA from 1 species
UACAGAGGGUGCAAGCGUUAAUCGGAAUUACUGGGCGUAAAGCGUGCGCAGGCGGUUCGUUGUGUCGGCGGUGAAAGCCCCGGGCUUAACCUGGGAAUGGCCGUUGAAACUGGCGAACUGGAGUGUGGCAGAGGGGGGGUGGAAUUCCGCGUGUAGCAGUGAAAUGCGUAGAGAUGUGGAGGAAUACCGAUGGCGAAGGCAGCCCCCUGGGCCAAUACUGACGCUCAUGCACGAAAGCGUGGGGAGCAAACAGG